AUCAGAAUUUUGAAAGUGCCUGCUACAACAAAAACACCAUGAAAGCUUCUGAGAUUCAGAUAGAGUGCGAAACCGAGGGGAGAAAUUCGCAGCAGAAGAAAACGAAACCUCAAUUUAGACCAGCUAAAGAUGAUACAAAACCAGUCCUUCGAGAUCCAAUACUGCGAUCUGACCCAAUUGAGACUGAAGAAGCUGUACUACGACUUCCCCCUUUUCCUUUGGUAGGAUUAAAGCCCUAAAUGAGUAAGCCUACUUCUAAUAUGUUGUCAUUGUAGUUGGGCAUGAAAAUGUAUGUAGCUGAAAACAUCAAUACAACACAAUGAAAUUUCAUUA